AUUGAACGCUGGCGGCAUGCUUUACACAUGCAAGUCGAACGGUAACAGGGAGCUUGCUCCGCUGACGAGUGGCGAACGGGUGAGUAAUGCAUCGGAACGUACCGUGUAAUGGGGGAUAACGUAGCGAAAGUUACGCUAAUACCGCAUACGCCCUGCGGGGGAAAGUGGGGGACCGCAAGGCCUCACGUUAUACGAGCGUCCGAUGUCGGAUUAGCUAGUUGGUGGGGUAAAUGCCUACCAAGGCGACGAUCCGUAGCGGGUCUGAGAGGAUGAGCCGCCACACUGGAACUGAGACACGGCCCAGACUCCUGCGGGAGGCAGCAGUGGGGAAUUUUGGACAAUGGGGGCAACCCUGAUCCAGCCAUGCCGCGUGAGUGAAGAAGGCCUUCGGGUUGUAAAGCUCUUUCAGGUGGAAAGAAAUCUCUUGGGCAAAUACCCUGGGAGGAUGACGGUACCAGCAGAAGAAGCACCGGCUAACUACGUGCCAGCCGCCGCCGUAAAAC
rnacentral:rRNA from 1 species